AUGGCCGGGAGAGUGCCAUCAUCUCUGUCAGAGUCCAUCCCUGUACUUAGGCCUCAGAGAUACCACUUGUCUACUUGGGAACAAAAGGAUGACGUCUUUCAACAACAUCCAGAUGUCCAUUCACAUUGGCAAGGCAUAGCCGGGAGUGAACCACCACAUUCAUCCCUGCAUACCAAGUCAGUUCUCCCAUCGCUGAAGAUGAAGGCUUCAGAGGUGCUGCCUGCCAGCAAUCUGCUGAACCCAGCAUCGCCUACCAUCACGAAAAGAUGUGUUCAACCGAAGAACAUUGAGUUUGUCACGCCACAUCACACUCCUCAGAUGUACCCUUACACACUGGAGUCUCAAUUGGGUUCCCUCUUGAGAAAUCCAAGAAGAGACAUCAGAGACAAAGGCGUCCAGAAAUUCACUGACCGACUGGAUGACUACCUUCUGUGGAAAAUCACCUUCAUGAGGGCCAUUCGAGAUUUCAAGCUAGAAGCGGAUGAAGAACUGUCCCUUCUUAUGGCGUGGCUUGGACCCAGCUCAGCCGAGCAAGUAAAAAGACUUUAUGCUGCUCAUGUAGCAGACCCCCAAAGAGCUUUGUCCACAGCGUGGUCUCGCUUGGACCAGCGCUUCGGUGCGAGCACUGAGAUAGAAGCAUCCCUCAUCGAUCGACUCAACAGGUUCCCAUCACUGAAGAUGAAAGAUUGCAAACAGCUUUGGGACUUUAGUGAUCUUUUACUAGAGCUAGCUUCAGCCAAAGGAAAUCCAGAGCUGCCAGGUUUAGCAUGUCUGGACCAGCACACGUCGCAGAGUGCCAUUCUCUGCAAACUUCCUUUUCCUCUUCGAGAAGCUUGGGGAAAACAGGUGUUCAAGUACAAAGAGGAGAAUGCAAAUGUAUACCCGCCCUUCACCUUUUUGGUGGAUUUCGUCACUAGAGCAACCCGUGAGAGGAAUGACCCUCAAACAGGUCUUCUCGCUUUGUACCAAGACCUAAAGCCUGAAAAGACCUCCAAAGAAGACAAAGCCCAGGGCAAAGAUCUUAGAAGGAACCUGAGUGUCAAGAUGACAGACGCAACUCCUGCAGCUUCUGCUCAACCAGUCAGCAACAACACCAUAUCCUGUCCCAUUCAUCAAAGGCCACACAGCCUAGCUGAAUGCAGAGAGUUCGCAAAGAAGCCUUACAAAGAACGACUUCAAAUAAUUCAAAAGGCCAAGGUGUGCUUUAGAUGCUGCGGCACCACUAUUCACUUCUCCAAAGACUGCAAAGAAAAGGUUAAAUGCCAACACUGCAACAGCAUCAAGCAUUGCUCUGCAAUGCACAACUUCGAUUCCCCUCAAUUCAAAGCAAAGUCAAAUUCUCCUGCCAAAGAAGAAACCAAAGAAGACCAAAAGCCUACAGAACCUCAGGUAGCCCUCAAGGCUCCUGCGGUUGCCUGCACCAAGCUUUGUCAAAAUAGCCACAAGCCCAGGAUUUGCCACCCAAUCUGCCUGGCAGAGGUGUAUCCAGACAAGCAGCCAUGGAAUAAGAAAAGGGUCUACGUCGCCUUGGAUGCCCAAAGUGACGCAUCUCUUGCAACCCCAGAGUUCUUCGACAUGUUCGACCUUCAUACAGAGACAAUAGAAUACACCAUAUCCACUUGUUCUGGAAAGAAUAAGAUGAAUGGCAGAGUUGCAACAAAGUUCAAAAUCUCGCCUGUUGGACAAAAGGUCAGGUACGAUCUUCCUGACCUUAUAGAAUGCAGCCUGAUUCCCAGGAACAAAGAACAGAUAGCCACGAAGGAGGUGGUACAAGCCCAUCCUCAUCUCAAAGGUAUUCAAGACCUAAUUCCAGCUUUGGACUUAGAAACAGACAUCGUAAUGCUUAUCGGUGCAAAUUGUCCCACACUGUUCUGUGUUAGCAACCAGAUUGAAGGUCCUAAGGGAUCACCCAUGGCCCAGCAGUUGCCUUUAGGAUGGACGGUGUUAGGCCCAGUCUGCCUGAACAAGAUGUUCCAGCCUGUCACUAAAAGGCCUUCACUAAUGCAAGGAUGUGCCAGCCACAUCUCAGUUUGCUGCCAGGGAGUAAUGCCCGAUUACUCUUCCAUCAUCGAAGUCACAGAGAGAGAUGAGCAAACAGCCUUCUCUAAAAAUGAACAGAAGUUCCUUGAGAUGAUGAACAGCCAAGUCACUCAAGUCUCUGAAGGUAAUUGGAUAGCACCUUUACCUUUCAAGCCGGAAAGACCAUCUCUACCCAACAACAGAGAUGUUGCCCUUCAUCGUCUCCUGUCCUUAAGAAGAAGGAUGCUAAAGGAUCCGAAGGUAAAGACCCAGAUCACCCAGUUUGUGGAAGACCUCUUCAGAAACAACUACGCUGAACCAGCCAGCGUGUGUGCGGAGGGAGAAGAGCAGUGGCAUUACAUAUCCACUUCAGAAAAUCCGGCAGAUGUGACAUCCCAAGGAACAUCAGCCGCAAAGUUGUCCAAGUCAUCCUGGAUCACUGGACCCAAAUGUCUUCAAAAUCCUUCCUUUCCAGAAAGCAUUUCCGUGCUCAAAGACACUGAGUUGCCAGAAAUUCAGUCCUGCAAAUCUACCAUCGAUGGCCAAGACUUAUCAAGGCAAGGUUUAAAUCCAGCCAAGUUUGAAAGAUUUUCAAAACGGACUAGACUUCAGGCAGCCAUUGCCAGGCUCAUACAUUACAUCACUACAAAAAACAGUGGUGCAAUUCAGCCCCAAGAUCUUUCAAAAGCCUCAACAGUCAUCCUGAGAUCCACUCAAAGACAGUGUUUUUUAGAAGAAAUAGCUUGUCUAGAAAGAAAAGCUUCCUUGCCCAAAAAUAGUUGUUUAAAGGACUUGAACCCCUUCCUGGACAAUGAGGGUCUCCUUAGGGUUGGAGGUAGACUAAAAAGAGCAAAGAUUAGAUCCUGUGUUAAAAAUCCUUUUAUUUUGCCACACCAUAGCCACAUAGCUCUGCUGUUGACACAGCAUUUCCACUCAAAGGUCAAACACCAAGGAAGGUCAUUUACAGAGUCUGCCCUAAGAAACUAUGGGUUUUGGAUUGUUAAGUGCCGACGUAAAGGUUGGGGAUUUGGUGUUACUUAA
ensembl:lncRNA